rnacentral:rRNA from 1 species
GAACGGGUGAGUAACACGUGGGUGAUCUGCCCUGCACUCUGGGAUAAGCCUGGGAAACUGGGUCUAAUACCGGAUAGGACCAUGGGAUGCAUGUUCUGUGGUGGAAAGCUUUUGCGGUGUGGGAUGGGCCCGCGGCCUAUCAGCUUGUUGGUGGGGUGAUGGCCUACCAAGGCGACGACGGGUAGCCGGCCUGAGAGGGUGUCCGGCCACACUGGGACUGAGAUACGGCCCAGACUCCUACGGGAGGCAGCAGUGGGGAAUAUUGCACAAUGGGCGCAAGCCUGAUGCAGCGACGCCGCGUGGGGGAUGACGGCCUUCGGGUUGUAAACCUCUUUCAGUAUCGGCGAAGCUUGCGGGUUUUCUCGCAGGUGACGGUAGGUACAGAAGAAGCACCGGCCAACUACGUGCCAGCAGCCGCGGUAAUACGUAGGGUGCGAGCGUUGUCCGGAAUUACUGGGCGUAAAGAGCUCG